CCAAAAGAGAUUGUUUUCAGGAAGAGAGGAGCUAAACUUUCACGGUUUUGCGUAUAGGCAACCAACCUGGAAUGGAGCCUGGAAAAUAUAGUCAUUGGCUUUUUCAUUUUUGAUUAUGUACUACCCCUUCAUCUGCUCGUUGGCCCCUUGACGAAGAGCAGAACUCGGGUUUAUUUUUCAUGUCCCAGCCAGGGCAGCCUAGUCUCAUGGAAACUGGAUCCUUACAGAAGAAAAACAUAGAGGGUUUUUUCUUUGCCAUUUACCUUGCUGGAGAAGAAGAACUGAAGGGCUGGAAGUGAGUUAAAAGCCCUUUCAGAUAAACUUGAGCCACAUUCCAGAUGUGUCAUAAACUCCUCCCUGCUAUCCUGCUCCUUUGAAGCUCCUUGCAAUAAGCAGACUGUUACCAUGCGGUGUAGAAACCACAUUCGGAUUUUCUGCACAGCCUGCUGAAGCACUGCCAGUUGUGACCCAAGUCCUGGCUCUGAUGGCUCCCCUUCCCCUCCUACUCAGCCAGUGUGGGAUGGGGGUCCCUGGCCUUUCCCUUCCCCUUGCGGAGCUCUAAGUGUACAUUAGGAGGAUGUGUGGGAGGGAAGUUUCUCCUUGAAAACAAGGAGAUAAUUUGUUCUCUGUAUGGAAGGGACAUCAGUUCUAUGUAUGGACUACUGAAAGCAUCAGAAACCAUCCAGUCCUGGCAUCUGGGAGCACUGGUCCUGGUCCAGUAUCUGAGCAUGUUGAGUGAGUAAUUGAUGGGAGCAGAAUCUACAGCAAGUGGAUUUACAGCAAGUCUACUGCAACACUGGGACAUUCUUAGGGGCUGCAGCUGCCUUGUUUGUUCAGUCAUUCCUGCAAAUAAACAGGCAAUUUCAGUUCAGCCUUUCUUGUGGUAAAGAUGGUGGAGGAAGAGACAACACGGAGAAGAAAAGGGAAAAAUACUUUGGACUCUGCUUAGCUCUGACUUCUGGAGAUGAGAUACAUUGCAGGAUCGGUCACUGAGCUGACUGCUGCCUGACAGUAGUUGGAAGUGUGUUUUAGUGGCCCUCGGAGGUGGAAAGUGGGGCUGUUCUUCCUCCAGUGGAGCAGAGUGGGUGAGAAGCAGCAUCUCUGGCUCAUGCGUCAAGGGGCUGGUGGUGGCCUGGAGAAGACACCAAUUCACCAGCAAUGUGGAGGUGGAAGCAUGGGAGGAUUCCCAGGAGCUGGAGGUAGGAGUUGAUAGCCUGUGCUUCAUGGACCUCCCAGUGGUCAAAUGAAGGCUUUGAGCACUGAGGACGCUCGGAGAUCUGCGUUCCUGGAGACACCACAUUAUUCCAGCCUGUUUCACAUGGGAUUUUUCCUGUUUGCAUCAUUUUCCGCUUGACUGCCAGUGAAAGCAAUAUAUGGGUUUGAUAUUAGCAGCAGUAGAAAGACCUAAUCAGACCUUUUCUUCCCUUGACAGUAUCUGCCCUGCCAGCCUGGGAGAUGAUCCAGCACUUCUGGCCAGUUGUGCAGGAAUGGCCCAAGGGCUGUGGGACAGCAUCUUGCUUCUGUUCCCAAUGCUUGUCCCACUUCUUUGUCCCAGAAGGGCUGUGUGGAAAAAUGGUUCUGGCUUGGUGAGCCUCCUUGCCCUGGAUUGACAUCAGCCCACAUUGCUUCAUGGCUGUCAGGUCUCAGACGUGGGCUGGAACUUGGCAAACAUUUUAGGUAUAGCUGUGGGUGCAGAGUCUACUGUUCUGUCCUGUGGGAAGCGUCCUGGACCAGGGACAUAAACAUAGAACAGGGUUCAGGUUUCCUUUUGCUGUAAUUGCUCAUGGGAUGUGCAUCUUCUGUCAGCUGUUAUCUUGCUGGCUAAAAGCAGUUGAUCCUUGUUAGGGUCAUUUGUUAUGAUGCUUAAAGUAAGAGAAAUAUGGAUUUCUACCUGGCACUACGUAAGCUGUGGAGUCAGCCUUUACCCCAGAGGACAGACAAUGCAUAGGAACCCCCAGGAGCAGUGCCAUCUGCUUUCCCAUGGUUGUACCUUUAGACUUAGGAGAUCUGCUGCUGUCUGGACUGGUUAUAAGUAUUGAUGCUUUCUUGCAUCUGUACAUGGACUCAAGAACAUUCAGCGUUAUACUACCAUACUGCCUGUCCCGGGGUGACUGCAGUGAUGCUCAGCGCUGACACCUCCUGCACCCCGCACAUCCGUCUCCUCUCCCCUGCCAGAGCCACCUCUCUGCUCGAGAGCAAGACAGGCACCUUCUUGCUCAUUGUGCAGGGCUUUCUCUCAUUUUAUUUCACCAGCUUUCUAAUUUAAGUCUCCUUGUUACUGUCUUGCUCCAGAACUACUUCUUUGGCAGGGCCAAGCGGGUGAGUCACGGCCAUGGGCUGUGAUCCUGUCUCCUGCUUUGGAUGCAGCACUGCUGCUGGGCUGGGCAACACAACCAGAGAGCUCCAGUGCCUCAGCAGGGACAAGUCCUGGGAGAAGGACAGGUCCCUGGAAGCAGGGGGAGUAAAUGAGAACGCUGAGAACAGAGCACCUAUUCUGGCAUGUGAGCCCAGAGUUCUUCCUCCUGCACUGCCUUCCAACCAGAGGGCUGUGAGCUUGCUGUGUAACCCCAGCAAACUGCUCCCAAAGGAAGGGCCACUCCUAGAAGCAAAACUGUGUGGGAGACACAUCUGUGCAGUGGCUCUCUCUAACAUGAGAAAGUCCUGGAAAAUUAAACCAGAUUGUAAACAGAGUUGUUCCUUAGGGGUGGGAUGGGUUUGGUAGAAUUUGUGCUGAUUCGGGGCAUCCUUUCAAUAAAACUCCUAAGUUUUGUUCAUUCUGCUGUUACCAAGUCUUGUACCAAGCCUGAUGAGCAGAAACACCCCCUCACCUGUACCGAGUCUCCUUUCUGUUCUUCUGUAGUGCAUCCUGCCCUGCCCAGGUGGGAGACAGCAUUAGGUUCUAGGUAGUAGCAUUGUAGAAUAGAACCAUUGACUCAUUAAAGUUGGAAGAGAUUGGUAAGGUCAU